GAUGAACGCUGGCGGCGUGCCUAAUACAUGCAAGUCGAGCGAACAGACGAGGAGCUUGCUCCUCUGACGUUAGCGGCGGACGGGUGAGUAACACGUGGAUAACCUACCUAUAAGACUGGGAUAACUUCGGGAAACCGGAGCUAAUACCGGAUAAUAUAUUGAACCGCAGGGUUCAAUAGUGAAAGACGGCUUUGCUGUCACUUAUAGAUGGAUCCGCGCCGCAUUAGCUAGUUGGUAAGGUAACGGCUUACCAAGGCAACGAUGCGUAGCCGACCUGAGAGGGUGAUCGGCCACACUGGAACUGAGACACGGUCCAGACUCCUACGGGAGGCAGCAGUAGGGAAUCUUCCGCAAUGGGCGAAAGCCUGACGGAGCAACGCCGCGUGAGUGAUGAAGGUCUUCGGAUCGUAAAACUCUGUUAUUAGGGAAGAACAAAUGUGUAAGUAACUAUGCACGUCUUGACGGUACCUAAUCAGAAAGCCACGGCUAACUACGUG
rnacentral:rRNA from 1 species